rnacentral:rRNA from 1 species
GACUCCUACGGGAGGCAGCAGUGGGGAAUAUUGCACAAUGGGCGCAAGCCUGAUGCAGCAACGCCGCGUGAGUGAUGAAGGCCUUCGGGUCGUAAAGCUCUGUCCUCAAGGAAGAAUAAAUGACGGUACUUGAGGAGGAAGCCCCGGCUAACUACGUGCCAGCAGCCGCGGUAAUACGUAGGGGGCAAGCGUUAUCCGGAAUCACUGGGCGUAAAGGGUGCGUAGGCGGUUUUCAAGUCAGAAGUGAAAGGCUAUGGCUCAACCAUAGUAAGCUUUUGAAACUGUUAAACUUGAGUGCAGGAGAGGAAAGUGGAAUUCCUAGUGUAGAGGUGAAAUUCGUAGAUAUUAGGAGGAACACCAGUGGCGAAGGCGACUUUCUGGACUGUAACUGACGCUGAGGCACGAAAGCGUGGGGAGCGAACAGGAUUAGAUACCCUGGUAG